UUAACUCUAACCCUACCCUUAACCCUACCCCUAACCCUACCCCUAGAUGUGUAAGUGGUUGUGGUGGCUGGGGGUUAGGGUUAGGAGUUAGGGUUAUGGGUAGGGUUAGGAUUAGU